rnacentral:lncRNA from 1 species
ACAGCUGAUGCUAACAUCGACUCUUGCCAAUGAUCGAGUUGAUAAAUAAACCAGGGGUGGACGGCUAGAGGUUUCAGGUUUCACUAAGAAAAAGAAGAUGGGGCUCUGUGUCUAUGACUUCUAAGUGCAAGAAAAAACAGAGAAAAGAAGAAAUAACACUGUUUUCAUUGCCACGAAAUCAGCUAGGUGUAGGCGUGCAACUUGAUGUUAUGUUAAUGAAAAAGUGUAAGCUGCAUCGAAAUCUAUCCAUUAUUUGAGUCUUAAUAGCAUUGCUAGCUUUGUGAUAUUUAG